rnacentral:rRNA from 1 species
GAUGAACGCUGGCGGCGUGCCUAAUACAUGCAAGUCGAGCGAACAGACGAGGAGCUUGCUCCUCUGACGUUAGCGGCGGACGGGUGAGUAACACGUGGAUAACCUACCUAUAAGACUGGGAUAACUUCGGAAAUCCGGAGCUAAUACCGGAUAAUAUAUUGAACCGCAUGGUUCAAUAGUGAAAGACGGUUUUGCUGUCACUUAUAGAUGGAUCCGCGCCGCAUUAGCUAGUUGGUAAGGUAACGGCUUACCAAGGCAACGAUGCGUAGCCGACCUGAGAGGGUGAUCGGCCACACUGGAACUGAGACACGGUCCAGACUCCUACGGGAGGCAGCAGUAGGGAAUCUUCCGCAAUGGGCGAAAGCCUGACGGAGCAACGCCGCGUGAGUGAUGAAGGUCUUCGGAUCGUAAAACUCUGUUAUUAGGGAAGAACAAAUGUGUAAGUAACUAUGCACGUCUUGACGGUACCUAAUCAGAAAGCCACGGCUAACUACGUG